UACGAAGGGGGCUAGCGUUGCUCGGAAUCACUGGGCGUAAAGCGCACGUAGGCGGAUUGCUAAGUCAGGGGUGAAAUCCCAGAGCUCAACUCUGGAACUGCCUUUGAUACUGGGUGUCUUGAGUAUGGAAGAGGUGAGUGGAAUUCCGAGUGUAGAGGUGAAAAUUCGUAGAUAUUCGGAGGAACACCAGUGGCGAAGGCGGCUCACUGGUCCAUUACUGACGCUGAGGUGCGAAAGCGUGGGGAGCAAACAGG
rnacentral:rRNA from 1 species